UAAAAGACUAAAAUAAACAUGAAGUCUAUUAUUUAAGACAUCUCUUAGGACUAAAGUUAAAGUCUUUCUCUCUUCUUGAUUGCUUACACAUUUUCUCUCAUUUGGCUCUCUCCUGAGAAUCCUAUUCAUGUAUGGAGAGGACUAAAGUCUUGUAAUAUAUGCAGAUAUCAAAUUUCAAGUAGUAAGCUAUCUCUUGCAAGUUUCAAUUGAAGGAAAAAAAAAAAAUUCAUUUUGAAGAUGGCAUCAAAUGAAGGGACAUAUAAUUUCAAGAAUGAAGAAUUUCAAGAAGAAGACAUUUGGGGUAAUACUAAUAAUAGUAUUAAUGAAAAAAACCAACUUAAUUCCAAGUUCAUAACAAGUAAAGAUCAACCAUCAUUUACUUUGAAUCCAAGAAGGCAAAUACCAACUGCAGCCAAGAUUAUGAUCCCAAAAUCAAACAAGAAUUCAAUUCAAGAAUUCAAAAUAAUUCAACACUCAGCCCCUGUGAAAAUACCAGAUUGGUCAAAAAUUUAUGGGACAAGUUUAAGGGAAGAUAUUGGUAAUUUUGUGACAAAUAAUAGUUGGGAAAGUGAUGAUCAAGAAAUUGAAGAAAAUAUGAUGCCUCCACAUGAAUGGCUUGCUAAAAGAUUAGGGAGAAACCAAAUUUCUUCAUUUUCAGUGUGUGAAGGUGUUGGAAGAACAUUGAAAGGAAGAGAUCUAAGUAGGGUAAGAAAUGCUGUUUUAACCAAAACUGGAUUUCUUGAAUAAUUUCUCAUUAUCAUCAAUGAUCAUUAGAUGGGGGUGAAAAAAGUUGAGUUGGGUCCCACUCGAAUCAUGGUGGCAGAUCGGCGCUCUUAAAAUUUUCUUUUUUAAGCGUUCUUAAAAUUUUCUUUUUAAGCAUAAUAAGUUAUGUCGAUACUUUCUGUACUUAAAUUUUGAAAGUUUAUCAAUACUCGUGCUGAUGAAAGAUGGUAAGUAACCGGUGGAAAUAAUCUAGAUGUGUGCAAGCUGGCGUGGAGACUCAAAAAUUGUAGUUCCUUUUUGUACAUUUCUAAUUGCUUCCUCUUUUUUUUUUUUUUCCUUUACUUCAUGAGGUAAUCUUAUAGUUACAAGGGAACUAAGAAAAGAAAGAGAAAAUAGAAAAAUCAAAAGCCUAAUUGUGUGUGUAUAAUUAUCGUGGUGGCUUUGUAAUGUUGUUAGGUGAAUAAAGAUCCUUUUGUGGAGAAAGCAAACAAUGAUUUUGUGUCAUGUUCUUUUAUCAGUGUUGCACAUGAUUAUGUAAAGCUUGAAUUUUGGAGUUUGGUCUCCCAAUUUUAUUUCUUUGCUGU